CAUGCAUUUCGGUCUCCUACGUAACGAUGGCUCGUCGUCUGUGUGAUGUCGCUCGUUGCCAAGGGGUUGAUUUUAAGAAUGCAGCAUCAGUCACUUUCUCCAAAAAGCCUGGACUCCUGUUGUUUGGAAAGGACAUUAGAGAACACAAACUCCGUACUCUUGGGCUGACACUGCUUUUAGUGAACAGAGCUGGACUCUCAGCUCAGGAGGAAGACUCUGAAAGCAAAACAUGCCCUGAGGGGAACCAAUAGCUGCCCCUUCAAGCAGUAGGGUUUGCCCUGAGCCCCCACUCAUCAUUGACUUCAAGACAAAGAUCUCUUUGACUUUCACUGCCUACCUAUCCACCCACCCACCUUUGCCCCACAUUUUCCUUUUAAACGUGGAAGUAUCUUCAGCACUUUGGACAGUCUUUGAGAAGCGAAUCCUAGGUUCCUUUCGUGUUUCACCACCGCUCCUCUCUUUGCCUUUGGAUUUUGUCAGCAGGAAUGGCCCAACCUGGUCUGUUUGGAACCCCACCCCUCUUGCACCCUUGCGCCCCAGCUACACCAUGGUCCGGAUGAGCUCAGGGAGGAAAGAAACGCUACAGGACACGAGCCUGUCACCUCCGCGGAUGGGUGGGGGGACAACAACGAGGAGGUCCCGGGAGGAGUGACAGGUCCCCGCCCCAGGAGCACGCGAUGCCGCGGGCUGUGGAGGUGGGGGUCUCAGGACAGGGUGAAGAUUGCGGAAUGCCAGGCUCAGGGAGCAAACCGGCCACCCGCGCUGCCCGCAAGGGGCGGGCAGACAGUCGAGAGGCGGGAGCCCGCGGCAAGGGCAAGAAUCCGUGCACCGAGUGGGGACUUCACACGGCAUCGGGUCCGUGAGGAGGGUCGGCGAAGGGUACUGUGCAGGAAAACGACGAGGCCGGUAGUGUCCACAUGCCACAGGCAGAGAGGCAGAUCUCCUUCCGAGCAAUUUUAACCGGGAACAGAGCGGAUCCCAGCAUUCGGAUCGCCUCCAGCGGCGUCGGGAUUCACCACUGCAUGGACCGGCGGGGGUUGCAGCCUUCCAGCGACCCCACAACCACGUGCGGACUUCUGCGGACCGAGCAGCCGCUGCGUUCAAACCUGAACCGGAAAGACAAACUGUCCCGCAACAGUGGGACACCACUUAUCCGGAUCCGCUUCCGGGUCUGCCGGAAAUGCGCC